CUACCAAUGGCUACACUGGUUCUUAAUAAGGCUGAGCUGGCUGAAAUUACAGAAAUAGAAUUCAGAAUAUGGAUAGGAACAAAGGUCAUGAGAUUCAAAAGGAUGGCAAAACCCAAUCCAAGAACUAAUAAUCACAAUAAAGUGAUACAGGAGCUGAAGGAUGAAAUAGUCACUAUAAAAAAGAACCUAAUGGAGCUGACAGAACUUUGUAAUCCAAUAUAAGAAUUUCACAAUGCAAUCAUGAGUAUUAACAGCAGAAUAUUAAU